rnacentral:rRNA from 1 species
ACACAUGCAAGUCGAACGAAAAGAGGGAAAGAGCUUGCUCUUUCCGGAAUUGAGUGGCAAACGGGUGAGUAACACGUAAACAACCUGCCUUCAGGAUGGGGACAACAGACGGAAACGACUGCUAAUACCGAAUAAGUUCCAAGAGCCGCAUGGCCCAUGGAAGAAAAGGUGGCCUCUACCUGUAAGCUAUCGCCUGAAGAGGGGUUUGCGUCUGAUUAGCUGGUUGGAGGGGUAACGGCCCACCAAGGCGACGAUCAGUAGCCGGUCUGAGAGGAUGAACGGCCACACUGGAACUGAGACACGGUCCAGACUCCUACGGGAGGCAGCAGUGGGGAAUCUUCCGCAAUGGGCGAAAGCCUGACGGAGCAACGCCGCGUGAGUGAUGACGGCCUUCGGGUUGUAAAACUCUGUGAUCCGGGACGAAAAGGCAGAGUGCGAAGAACAAACUGCAUUGACGGUACCGGAAAAGCAAGCCACGGCUAACUACGUGCCAGCAGCCGCGGUAAUACGUAGGUGGCAAGCGUUGUCCGGAAUUAUUGGGCGUAAAGCGCGCGCAGGCGGCUUCCCAAGUCCCUCUUAAAAGUGCGGGGCUUAACCCCGUGAUGGGAAGGAAACUGGGAGGCUGGAGUAUCGGAGAGGAAAGUGGAAUUCCUAGUGUAGCGGUGAAAUGCGUAGAGAUUAGGAAGAACACCGGUGGCGAAGGCGACUUUCUGGACGAAAACUGACGCUGAGGCGCGAAAGCGUGGGGAGCAAACAGGAUUAGAUACCCUGGUAGUCCACGCCGUAAACGAUGGAUACUAGGUGUAGGAGGUAUCGACCCC